CCCUAGUAUAAUAAAAAUGAUUUAUGAGUAUAUUUUGAAAAUUAAGAAUUUUGGCGGUUAAAUAAUUAUUUAGAGGAGCUUGUUUUAGUUAGAAUUUACUCUUUAUGAUUUAAAUUAAAAAAGUUUAUUUAUCUCCGUUAUAAGAUAAUUAUAAUUGAAAGUAAAUGUUAAGAUAUUUAUAAUUUCAGGUCAAGAUGUAACUUUUUUAAUAGAGAAUUAGCUACAAUUAUGUAAUAAAUGGAACUUUGUUUUUAAUAAUAUUUGUAAAAUUGAAUUUGGAUGUAAUAGAAUUUAGAAAAAUUUUAUGAAUGUAUAAAUUUAGUGUA
rnacentral:rRNA from 1 species